CGGUAACAGGAUGUGCUUGCACAUCGCUGACGAGUGGCGGACGGGUGAGUAAUGCUUGGGAACUUGCCUUUACGAGGGGGAUAACAGUUGGAAACGACUGCUAAUACCGCAUAAUGUCUUCGGACCAAACGGGGCUUAGGCUCCGGCGCAAAGAGAGGCCCAAGUGAGAUUAGCUAGUUGGUAAGGUAAUGGCUUACCAAGGCGACGAUCUCUAGCUGUUCUGAGAGGAAGAUCAGCCACACUGGGACUGAGACACGGCCCAGACUCCUACGGGAGGCAGCAGUGGGGAAUAUUGCACAAUGGGGGAAACCCUGAUGCAGCCAUGCCGCGUGUGUGAAGAAGGCCUUCGGGUUGUAAAGCACUUUCAGUUGUGAGGAAAAGUUAGUAGUUAAUACCUGCUAGCCGUGACGUUAACAACAGAAGAAGCACCGGCUAACUCCGUGCCAGCAGCCGCGGUAAUACGGAGGGUGCGAGCGUUAAUCGGUAUUACUGGGCGUAAAGCGCACGCAGGCGGUUUGUUAAGCUAGAUGUGAAAGCCCCGGGCUCAACCUGGGAUGGUCAUUUAGAACUGGCAGACUAGAGUCUUGGAGAGGGGAGUGGAAUUCCAGGUGUAGCGGUGAAAUGCGUAGAUAUCUGGAGGAACAUCAGUGGCGAAGGCGACUCCCUGGCCAAAGACUGACGCUCAUGUGCGAAAGUGUGGGUAGCGAACAGGAUUAGAUACCCUGGUAGUCCACACCGUAAACGCUGUCUACUAGCUGUGUGUGUCUUUAAGACGUGCGUAGCGAAGCUAACGCGCUAAGUAGACCGCCUGGGGAGUACGGCCGCAAGGUUAAAACUCAAAUGAUUGACGGGGGCCCGCACAAGCGGUGGAGCAUGUGGUUUAAUUCGAUGCAACGCGAAGAACCUUACCUACACUUGACAUGCUGAGAAGUUACUAGAGAUAGUUUCGUGCCUUCGGGAACUCAGACACAGGUGCUGCAUGG
rnacentral:rRNA from 1 species